AGGCCUAACACAUGCAAGUCGAGCGGUAGCACAGAGAGCUUGCUCUCGGGUGACGAGCGGCGGACGGGUGAGUAAUGUCUGGGAAACUGCCUGAUGGAGGGGGAUAACUACUGGAAACGGUAGCUAAUACCGCAUAACGUCGCAAGACCAAAGAGGGGGACCUUCGGGCCUCUUGCCAUCAGAUGUGCCCAGAUGGGAUUAGCUAGUAGGUGGGGUAACGGCUCACCUAGGCGACGAUCCCUAGCUGGUCUGAGAGGAUGACCAGCCACACUGGAACUGAGACACGGUCCAGACUCCUACGGGAGGCAGCAGUGGGGAAUAUUGCACAAUGGGCGCAAGCCUGAUGCAGCCAUGCCGCGUGUAUGAAGAAGGCCUUCGGGUUGUAAAGUACUUUCAGCGGGGAGGAAGGUGCUGAGGUUAAUAACCUCAGCAAUUGACGUUACCCGCAGAAGAAGCACCGGCUAACUCCGUGCCAGCAGCCGCGGUAAUACGGAGGGUGCAAGCGUUAAUCGGAAUUACUGGGCGUAAAGCGCACGCAGGCGGUCUGUCAAGUCGGAUGUGAAAUCCCCGGGCUCAACCUGGGAACUGCAUUCGAAACUGGCAGGCUAGAGUCUUGUAGAGGGGGGUAGAAUUCCAGGUGUAGCGGUGAAAUGCGUAGAGAUCUGGAGGAAUACCGGUGGCGAAGGCGGCCCCCUGGACAAAGACUGACGCUCAGGUGCGAAAGCGUGGGGAGCAAACAGGAUUAGAUACCCUGGUAGUCCACGCCGUAAACGAUGUCGACUUGGAGGUUGUGCCCUUGAGGCGUGGCUUCCGGAGCUAACGCGUUAAGUCGACCGCCUGGGGAGUACGGCCGCAAGGUUAAAACUCAAAUGAAUUGACGGGGGCCCGCACAAGCGGUGGAGCAUGUGGUUUAAUUCGAUGCAACGCGAAGAACCUUACCUACUCUUGACAUCCAGAGAACUUAGCAGAGAUGCUUUGGUGCCUUCGGGAACUCUGAAACAGGUGCUGCAUGGCUGUCGUCAGCUCGUGUUGUGAAAUGUUGGGUUAAGUCCCGCAACGAGCGCAAC
rnacentral:rRNA from 1 species